rnacentral:rRNA from 1 species
ACCGCUGAACUUAAGCAUAUCAAUAAGCGGAGGAAAAGAAACCAACAGGGAUUGCCCCAGUAACGGCGAGUGAAGCGGCAACAGCUCAAAUUUGAAAUCUGGCCCCUCGGGCCCGAGUUGUAAUUUGUAGAGGAUGCUUUUGGCAAGGUGCCGCCCGAGUUCCCUGGAACGGGACGCCGCAGAGGGUGAGAGCCCCGUCUGGCUGGCCGCCGAGCCUCUGUAAAGCUCCUUCGACGAGUCGAGUAGUUUGGGAAUGCUGCUCAAAAUGGGAGGUAUAUGUCUUCUAAAGCUAAAUAUUGGCCAGAGACCGAUAGCGCACAAGUAGAGUGAUCGAAAGAUGAAAAGCACUUUGAAAAGAGGGUUAAACAGUACGUGAAAUUGUUGAAAGGGAAGCGCUCAUGACCAGACUUGGGCUUGGCGGAUCAUCCGGCGUUCUCGCCGGUGCACUUCGCCUCGCCCAGGCCAGCAUCAGUUCGCGCCGGGGGACAAAAGCUUCGGGAAUGUGGCUCCUCCGGGAGUGUUAUAGCCCGUUGCAUAAUACCCUGGUGCGGACUGAGGUUCGCGCAUCUGCAAGGAUGCUGGCGUAAUGGUCAUCAGCGACCCGUCUUGAAACACGGACCAAGGAGUCGUCUUCGUAUGCGAGUGUUCGGGUGUCAAACCCCUACGCGUAAUGAAAGUGAACGCAGGUGAGAGCUUCGGCGCAUCAUCGACCGAUCCUGAUGUUCUCGGAUGGAUUUGAGUAAGAGCAUACGGGGCCGGACCCGAAAGAAGGUGAACUAUGCCUGUAUAGGGUGAAGCCAGAGGAAACUCUGGUGGAGGCUCGCAGCGGUUCUGACGUGCAAAUCGAUCGUCAAAUAUGGGCAUGGGGGCGAAAGACUAAUCG